UACGUAGGGCGCAAGCGUUGUCCGGAAUUAUUGGGCGUAAAGAGCUCGUAGGCGGUUUGUCGCGUCUGCUGUGAAAACUCGAGGCUCAACCUCGGGCUUGCAGUGGGUACGUGCAGACUAGAGUGCGGUAGGGGUGACUGGAAUUCCUGGUGUAGCGGUGGAAUGCGCAGAUAUCAGGAGGAACCCCGAUGGGGAAGGCAGGUCACUGGGCCGCAACUGACGCUGAGGAGCGAAAGCAUGGGGAGCGAACAGG
rnacentral:rRNA from 1 species